rnacentral:rRNA from 1 species
GACAGAGGUGGCAAGCGUUGUUCGGAUUUACUGGGCGUAAAGAGAGCGUAGGCGGCCGUGUAUGUCGGGUGUGAAAUCUCUCGGCUUAACCGAGAAACUGCAUUUGAAACUGCACGGCUAGAGGACAGGAGGGGGAAGUGGAAUUCCCGGUGUAGCGGUGAAAUGCGUAGAUAUCAGGAAGAACACCCGUGGCGAAGGCGGUUCUCUGGGACGGUACUGACGCUGAGACGCGAAAGCGUGGGGAGCGAACAGG